UUGGAGGGCAAGUCUGGUGCCAGCAGCCGCGGUAAUUCCAGCUCCAAUAGCGUAUAUUAAAGUUGUUGCAGUUAAAAAGCUCGUAGUUGAAUUUCGGGGUUCAUACGUUGGUCGGGCUUUUUUGGUCUGUACUUAUGUAAUGAAUUCCUACCUUCUGAAUAACCGGCAUGUCAUUAAUUUGGUGCGCCGGGGAAGCAGGACUGUUACCUUGAAAAAAUUAGAGUGCUUAAAGCAGGCUAUCGCCUGAAUACAUUAGCAUGGAAUAAUGAAAUAGGACGGCAUGGUUCUAUUUUGUUGGUUUCUAGGAUCACCGUAAUGAUUAAUAGGGAUAGUUGGGGGCAUUAGUAUUCAAUUGUCAGAGGUGAAAUUCUUGGAUUUAUUGAAGACUAACUUCUGCGAAAGCAGUUGCCAAGGAUGUUUUCAUUAAUCAAGAACGAAAGUUAGGGGAUCGAAGACGAUCAGAUACCGUCGUAGUCUUAACCAUAAACUAUGCCGACUAGGGAUCGGACGAAGUUAAUUUUUUAAUGACUCGUUCGGCGCCUUACGGGAAAC
rnacentral:rRNA from 1 species